rnacentral:rRNA from 1 species
CACGUAUUUAGCCGGAGCUUCUUAGUCAGGUACCGUCAUUUUCUUCCCUGCUGAUAGAGCUUUACAUACCGAAAUACUUCUUCACUCACGCGGCGUUGCUGCGUCAGGGUUCCCCCCAUUGUGCAAUAUUCCCCACUGCUGCCUCCCGUAGGAGUUUGGGCCGUGUCUCAGUCCCAAUGUGGCCGUCCACUCUCUCAAGCCGGCUACUGAUCGUUGUCUUGGUAGGCCGUUACCCUGCCAACUAACUAAUCAGACGCGGGCCCAUCCUGUACCACCGGAGUUUUUCCUGCUGUACCAUGCGGCACUGUAGGCUUAUGCGGUAUUAGCAGCCGUUUCCAGCUGUUCGUCCCCCUGUACAGGGCAGGUUACCCACGCGUUACUCCACCCGUCCGCCACUCAGUCCUGCGCAUCCUUCCCUCCGGAGACGUUCCGCCGCGCAGUCUUCGUUCGACUUGCAUGUGUUAGGCACGCCGCCAGCGUUCACUCCUGACGCCGAGGAUACGAAACUCUACG